GACGAACGCUGGCGGCGUGCUUAACACAUGCAAGUCGAACGGAAAGGCCCUGCUUUUGUGGGGUGCUCGAGUGGCGAACGGGUGAGUAACACGUGAGUAACCUGCCCUUGACUUUGGGAUAACUUCAGGAAAAUGGGGCUAAUACCGGAUAGGAGCUCCUGCAGCAUGGUGGGGGUUGGAAAGUUUCGGCGGUUGGGGCUGGGAUCGCAGCUUAUGGGCUUGUUGGUGGGGUAGUGACUUACCAAGGCUUUGAGGGGUAGCCGGCCUGGGAGGGUGACCGGGCACAUGGGGACUGAGAGACGGCCCAGACGCCUACGGGAGGCAGCAGUGGGGAGUAUUACACAAUGGGCGGAAGCCUGAUGCAGCAACGCCGCGUGCGGGAUGACGGCCUUCGGGGUGUAAACCGCUUUCGCCUGUGACGAAGCGUGAGUGACGGUAAUGGGUAAAGAAGCACCGGCUAACUACGUG
rnacentral:rRNA from 1 species